rnacentral:rRNA from 1 species
CAGUAGCCACGGGAAUACGAAGGGUGCAAGCGUUACUCGGAAUUACUGGGCGUAAAGCGUGCGUAGGUGGUGGUUUAAGUCCGUUGUGAAAGCCCUGGGCUCAACCUGGGAAUUGCAGUGGAUACUGGGUCACUAGAGUGUGGUAGAGGAUAGUGGAAUUUCCGGUGUAGCAGUGAAAUGCGUAGAGAUCGGAAGGAACAUCUGUGGCGAAGGCGACUAUCUGGGCCAACACUGACACUGAGGCACGAAAGCGUGGGGAGCAAACAGGAUUAGAUACCCCCGUAGUCCCUGUCUCUUAUAA